GAAAUGCGAUACUUGGUGUGAAUUGCAGAAUCCCGUGAACCAUCGAGUCUUUGAACGCAACUUGCGCCCUCUGGUAUUCCGGAGGGCAUGCCUGUUUGAGUGUCGUGAACACCUCAACCCUCCAAUGUUUUUUUUGCAUUGAAGGCGUUGGUAGUGAGCGCUGCCGGACCUUGCGUCGGCUCGCUUUAAAGUCAUUAGCUGGAUCCACUCUGACCUGGUUCUACUCGGCGUAAUAAGUUAUUAUCGUCGAGGACGCUGGCCUUCUGGGCAGGCGGCCACGCCGUAAAACACCCAACUCUUCUGAAGUUGACCUCGAAUCAGGUAGGAAUACCCGCUGAACUUAA
rnacentral:misc_RNA from 1 species